rnacentral:rRNA from 1 species
UCAGUUGUGAAAGUUUGCGGCUCAACCGUAAAAUUGCAGUUGAAACUGGCAGUCUUGAGUACAGUAGAGGUGGGCGGAAUUCGUGGUGUAGCGGUGAAAUGCUUAGAUAUCACGAAGAACUCCGAUUGCGAAGGCAGCUCACUAGACUGUCACUGACACUGAUGCUCGAAAGUGUGGGUAUCAAACAGGAUUAGAUACCCUGGUAGUCCACACAGUAAACGAUGAAUACUCGCUGUUUGCGAUAUACAGUAAGCGGCCAAGCGAAAGCAUUAAGUAUUCCACCUGGGGAGUACGCCGGCAACGGUGAAACUCAAAGGAAUUGACGGGGGCCCGCACAAGCGGAGGAACAUGUGGUUUAAUUCGAUGAUACGCGAGGAACCUUACCCGGGCUUAAAUUGCAAAUGAAUAUGUAGGAAACUAUAUAGCCGCAAGGCAUUUGUGAAGGUGCUGCAUGGCUGUCGUCAGCUCGUGCCGUGAGGUGUCGGCUUAAG